GCCUGCUUAGUAUAGUGGUUAGUACUCCACGUUGUGGCCGUGGCGACGCUGGUUCGAUUCCAGCAGCAAGGA
rnacentral:tRNA from 1 species